rnacentral:rRNA from 1 species
GCACUUAGUUGGUGCAGUGAUUUGUCAGGUUUAUUCCGGUAACGAACGAGACCUCGGCCUUGUAAAUAGCUAUGCUGCUUACAGGGACAUUGGCGGCUACGCCAAGGAAGCUCGAGGCAAUUGCAGAUCUGGAAUGCCCUUAGAUGUCCUGGGUCGCACGCGUGCUACAAUGACGCCACGAACGAGCUUGCGUGAUGAAAGUUACGCAUAAUCAGCAGUCGGCGUCUUAAGGGAUAGUCUCUUGUAACUGUGGGACUCCAACUAGGAAUGUCUCGUAAGCACAAGUCAACAUCUUGUGUUGAUUACGUCCCUGCUCUUUGUACACACCGCCCGUCGCUCCUACCGAUCGAGUGUUUCGGUGAAUUUGAUGGACGUAAGGAAGUCAAAUAACCUAGACUAGCCAAGAGAGCAAAGGCUCCCCCCCUGCUUCCCAGAGGCCCGCAACUCUUAAGCUUCGGUUUUCUUGCGCGAAUUCCUCUUCAUCAAUCGUUGCUAUAUUA